rnacentral:rRNA from 1 species
UACGAAGGGUGCAAGCGUUACUCGGAAUUACUGGGCGUAAAGCGUGCGUAGGUGGUUCGUUAAGUCUGAUGUGAAAGCCCUGGGCUCAACCUGGGAAUGGCAUUGGAUACUGGCGACCUAGAGUGCGGUAGAGGGGUGUGGAAUUCCCGGUGUAGCAGUGAAAUGCGUAGGUAUCGGGAGGAACAUCUGUGGCGAAGGCGACACCCUGGACCAGCACUGACACUGAGGCACGAAAGCGUGGGGAGCAAACAGG